CGCAGUAGCCAAGUGGUAAGGCAAUGGUCUGCAACACCAGUAUGCGCCGGUUCAAAUCCGGCCUGCGC
rnacentral:tRNA from 1 species